rnacentral:tRNA from 1 species
GCCCUCGUAGCUCAGGGGAUAGAGCAGCGGCCCUCGGAGCCGUGGUCGGGUGUUCGAAUCACUCCCGAGGGCG